GGCAUCAGUCUUGCAUUGGAUUGAGAACAAUGUACAACUCUUAUCGAUAAGCCAUUGGAGGGCAAGUCUGGUGCCAGCAGCCGCGGUAAUUCCAGCUCCAAUAGCGUAUAUUAACGUUGUUGCAGUUAAAAAGCUCGUAGUUGAAGUGUGGGUGAUCGCUGUUGUGAGACUUCGGUCUCUCGACAGUAAGUCACCCCCUUCCAGUAUCCAGUAGUGGGUAUUCAGUUACUUACUAUUGUGUGUUGGUCCUUUACUGUGAGAAAAUUAGAGUGUUCAAAGCAGGCGUUUGCUUGAAUAGAUUAGCAUGGAAUAAUAAUUGAAGGCUUUCGUGUUCGAUUUGAUUGGUUUGUUCAUGGAAGCAAGGUUAAAAGGAACAGUUGGGGGUAUUCAUAUUCACUAGUUAGAGGUGAAAUUCUCGGAUUUAUGGAAGAUGAACAAGUGCGAAAGCA
rnacentral:rRNA from 1 species